rnacentral:rRNA from 1 species
CAUGGGGUGGGAUGAACUAGCCCUGCGAGUCAUUGUAGUAUACAAGGCAGACGGCUCAGUAACGCGUAGUCAACCUACCCUAUGGACGGGGAUAACCUCGGGAAACUGAGAAUAAUACCCGAUAGAACAUUAUGCCUGGAAUGGUUUAUGUUUCAAAUAAUUUAUUGCCGUAGGAUGGGACUGCGGCCUAUCAGUUUGUUGGUGAGGUAAUGGCCCACCAAGACUAUUACAGGUACGGGCUCUGAGAGGAGUAGCCCGGAGAUGGGUACUGAGACACGGACCCAGGCCCUAUGGGGCGCAGCAGGCGAGAAAACUUUGCAAUGUGCGAAAGCACGACAAGGUUAAUCCGAGUGGUUUCUGCUAAAGGAACCUUUUGUCAGUCCUAGAAACACUGAUGAAUAAGGGGUGGGCAAGUUCUGGUGUCAGCCGCCGCGGUAAAACCAGCACCUCAAGUGGUCAGGAUGAUUAUUGGGCCUAAAGCAUCCGUAGCCUGCUUUGUAAGUUUUCGGUUAAAUCCAUAUGCUCAACGUAUGGGCUGCCGGGAAUACUGCAAAGCUAGGGAGUGGGAGAGGUAGACGGUACUCGGUAGGAAGGGGUAAAAUCCUUUGAUCUAUUGAUGACCACCUGUGGCGAAGGCGGUCUACCAGAACACGUCCGACGGUGAGGGAUGAAAGCUGGGGGAGCAAACCGGAUUAGAUACCCGGGUAGUCCCAGCUGUAAACUAUGCAAACUCAGUGAUGCAUUGGCUUGAUGCCAAUGCAGUGCUGCAGGGAAGCCGUUAAGUUUGCCGCCUGGGAAGUACGUACGCAAGUAUGAAACUUAAAGGAAUUGGCGGGGGAGCACCACAAGGGGUGAAGCCUGCGGUUCAAUUGGAGUCAACGCCGGG